rnacentral:lncRNA from 1 species
GAGAGAGGAGGCCAUAAAGUUCAGACCCAGAGAGCAGGGAACGAGGCCUGGGUGCUCCAGAUGCAAGUUGAGGGGCAUGAAGGGCGAGUGUGAGUGUGAUAUUGGAGGGGGCCUGCAGGGAGUAGGAGUGUGGGGCAACAGUGUGACCCCAGACACAGGUAGCAGGAGCUGUUUGGACUGAAGUGGCUUGUGAAGAGGGGCGGGAUGGAAGAGGGCCGGGGUCCAGUGUGAACUGAGUCCCUGAGCUACCCAGAGGGAGAGGGAGAGGCCCUGAGGCUGUGAGCAGGGUGUGCAUCAGCUCGGGAGGUGGAGACUGUCCCCUGAGGGGGAAGCGGCUGGAGCAGGCGGAGGGCCCCACAGUCAGGGAGAUUUGGAGAUGCGGGCGAUGGACAGCCAGGGGCUUCGGGCCAAAGGGUCGUGCCUGGGCCCCACCUGACCCGCCUCCAUCAGACAGGGCCUAAAUGGAAAGGUGAGAGGACACAGGGAGGCAGGCCCAGGGGAGGCCCAGGGGGAAGGAGCGGAGACCUGCCCCACCCCUCCCCAGCCUAAUAAAGGCCCAGGCCGGGCCAGACCCCCUCAUCUCACCGGUCCUCCUUGGUCCAGGUAGGUGCUCACUCACUUCCCUGGAAGGAUUGGGGGAGGGACAUGGGGUGUCACUGAUCACCCCAUCCCCGCUUCUGCCUCCAGAGACCCCUCACCAGCCAUGAGGCUUGUCCUGUCACUCCCGGUCCUGUUGGUGGCUCUGUGGAUGGUGUGUGAAGGACCAUCCUGGGCCCAGGCGGACCCAGAGCCAGCCGGCAUCUUGGAUGCCCUCCCGGACACUGUGAAGAAGAUUGCACACACCCUGGGGAACAAGGACCAGGGAGUCCCUGACAAGCUGAAAAAGAAGGACUCUGCUUCAGUCACCCGGUUA